AUUGAACGCUGGCGGCAGGCCUAACACAUGCAAGUCGAACGAGUGGCGGACGGGUGAGUAAUGCUGGGGAAUCUAGCCUAGGGCGGGGGAUAACGACGGGAAACUGUAGCCAAUACCGCAUACCAUAGGAUGAGCCCACGUGGGAUUAGGUAGUGGGUGAGGUAAAGGCUCACCAAGCCGACGAUCUAUAGCUGGUCUGAGAGGAUGACCAGCCACACUGGGACUGAGACACGGCCCAGCCUCCUACGGGAGGCAGCAGUGGGGAAUAUUGCACAAUGGGCGCAAGCCUGACGCAGCCAUGCCGCGUGAAUGAAGAAGGCCUUCGGUUUGUAAAGUUCUUUCGGUAGGGAGGCGUUACCUGCAGAAGAAGCACCGGCUAACUCCGUGCCAGCAGCCGCGGUAAUUC
rnacentral:rRNA from 1 species